rnacentral:rRNA from 1 species
GGACGAACGCUGGCGGCGUGCCUAAUACAUGCAAGUCGAGCGGACUUGAAGGAGUGCUUGCACUCCUGAGAGUUAGCGGCGGACGGGUGAGUAACACGUAGGCAACCUGCCCUCGAGACUGGGAUAACUACCGGAAACGGUAGCUAAUACCGGAUAAUUUAUUUCACAGCAUUGUGGAAUAAUGAAAGACGGAGCAAUCUGUCACUUGGGGAUGGGCCUGCGGCGCAUUAGCUAGUUGGUGGGGUAAUGGCUCACCAAGGCGACGAUGCGUAGCCGACCUGAGAGGGUGAACGGCCACACUGGGACUGAGACACGGCCCAGACUCCUACGGGAGGCAGCAGUAGGGAAUCUUCCGCAAUGGGCGAAAGCCUGACGGAGCAACGCCGCGUGAGUGAUGAAGG